rnacentral:tRNA from 1 species
GCAGAAGUGGCGCAAUUGGAAGACGCACUCAAUACAGUUCUGAAAGGAUGACCCCCAAUGGGGGGUUAGUGGCACGACUACCCUUAUUAGUAUAGUUGCAGGUUCAAGCCCUGCCUUCUGUU